GAGACAGCAGUCCCGCGGUAAUACGAAGGGUGCAAGCGUUACUCGGAAUUACUGGGCGUAAAGCGUGCGUAGGUGGUGGUUUAAGUCCGUUGUGAAAGCCCUGGGCUCAACCUGGGAAUUGCAGUGGAUACUGGGUCACUAGAGUGUGGUAGAGGAUAGUGGAAUUUCCGGUGUAGCAGUGAAAUGCGUAGAGAUCGGAAGGAACAUCUGUGGCGAAGGCGACUAUCUGGGCCAACACUGACACUGAGGCACGAAAGCGUGGGGAGCAAACAGGAUUAGAUACCCGUGUAGUCCCUGUCUCUUAUACA
rnacentral:rRNA from 1 species